GCAAUUGUAGUGAUGGGCCACUGUAGAUGUUUCACAGUCCAAGAAGCUUGAAGGCAUCCCUUAAAUCUAUAUCAUAAGGCUGAAAAAGAGCUUUUGUUAGAAUUGAAUCCAUUUUAGUUAGUGCGGUUGUUAGUUUGCUGCUGUACCUGGAGGAUACGAUUGAGUUUCCUGGACAGCCUGACCGAAUUCUGAUGCAGGCCUUCCCAGGCCUUGAAGCAGCCGUAGGCCCUCCCUCUCACGGCUAUCCUCCAUGUCACAGAAGUAGAGGCGGGCCACGAAGAUCCUGAGUCGAAGGUUGGGCAUCUGACUCAGGAACUGGGACAGAGUGACGGAGCAAUUUGCGCAGGGAGACCAGGAGCAGAACCAAGUGAUGGAGUAGCUGAGCCUCCUCUGGCCUGCCUCUCCACUACCCCAGACUCCAGGGCACAAGGCUCCCAGGUAGCGCAGAAACAGCAGCUACAGGCCCCCAUCAUUUAUGCCUUGACACUCACCUCUACAUGGCAGCCAUUUCGAUUGCGAAGGUGUCCAAAGUCAAAAGUCAUGGAGUCUGGCCCCACUCGCCUCUUCACAACAAAGCACAGGGGGGAACUGAGAACCUACAUCUCAUCAUAAACAUCCUGCAUUCAACAGAAGCAGCUUCUGGUUGGACAGAAAUAUUUUUAAAGUUCGUUUUUAGGGGCGUGACACGAUGAAGAUGGUUUGUCUAUUCAGUUGUUACGUUUAUAAGAAAAAUCAUGGCCUCUCAACGGAUCACACAGUGCCCAUUGUACACUUAGAUCUGCUCGGAAUGUUUUUAUGUAUCGAAAGGAAAAGUUCAUGAUCAAAAGCAGUUUUCCCCAAAAUUUAUUAAGCCAAGGCAGAUAUUUUAUAUUCGAAAAAUCUUACAGCACAACACCAAACAGAAAUGUGGCAAAAUGGACAUGUUUUUGAAUAAUGAUGCAUACACAAGUCUAUUGGCACCAUGCUGCUUCCUAUUUAAUUGCUUCGCAACCAGCACCAAAUAUUGGCUUGCGCUGUGCCGCCAUAGUUCCUGCAUUGUCCUGCGGUGUUCUUCUGUCUCAAACUAAGCAUGUCUUCAUGAAAAAAAGAAAAGAUAUGGCAUUCCCCAAGAAGUCAAACCCAACCCUUAUAUUGACUAUGAGGUGUGUCUCAAUAGCUUUGUCCAUUUAGUGCAUGUUCUCAGUUGGAACCAGAGCGGGAUCCCUAAAGUGCCACACACUUUUUUAACAGUCCCACAUGCUACCACAAUUUGGUUAAACCCAUAAGCAUGCCCAGACCUCAGAGGACUGGCACAUACUACCUCACCCUGCCAUCUGGAUUUUCCCAAACUGACAACUCUGGCCCGGCACGUCGGCGAGACACGAGACAUGGACGCCCUGGCCGCAGCCUCGGAGGCACGGUUGCUCCACGCCAAAUCAGGGUGUGUUCUAGUCGGCGCUCGUCUUUUCUCUCUGCUCUGUCUGUUUUAGCUCGAGCCCAGCCCGCUACUCCCCUCACCCUCUCGUGCACUCUGCGGUUUGGGGAAUUCACCCUUUCCCAGGGAGGUUUUUUUUUUUUCGGAGCUCAAUUGUGUGUGAUGUUCGCCUUUUGCACAGACAUGCCAUUCACAUACACGAUGUGCCAUACAUCAUCUGGAAGAAAUUUAUCUAACUGAUCCUAUUAUUGUGUGGCGGCCUAAUUUUAGUCUGAUACAUGUGUGUGGGCCUCACUUCAUACUGGAUUACUAGACAGUGCACUAAUUUCUCUGCUUAUUUGAUCUCUGGCGCAUGUGUACUUUCUGCUUCCAAAUUGUAUGUAACCACUUCCCAUGUUGACCACACGCGACCGAGGUCAUUUCAUGUAGCACAUGAUCAACCAAAUGCACUUCCGGGCCAUAUCUUGUGUGCAGAGGUGGCAAGAAAUGAAGUACAAAUACUUUGUUACUGUACCCAAGUAUAUAUUUUUAGGUAUCCGUAAUUUUCUGAUGACUUUUUACUUUUAGUCCCUACAUUUGAAAACACAUAUCUGUAUAUCUGUACUUUUUAUUCUUUACAUUGUUAAAAUUGGCUUGUUGCCACCUCUACUUGGAUCCUAAAGAAAUUCUGGAUCUGGAGGAAACUAAUACCUACUUUUCACUAUUAAGUUUUAUACACACUCCUUUUGAUUUUCCAGGUUAACGUGUACAACUCAAUUGAAAAACAUUGUGAAUCUUUGGGAGGGGUAGUAAAAAAACAACUUAAAUAAUGUUGUUGUACAAGUGUGGACACCCUCUUAUAACUAGGGAUGUAGAUAUGUUCAGAAUUAACCAAUCACCUUCAAAUUCAUGUUAAAUGGUGGUUGCCCCAGAUUAACCCCAAUUAAAUGUUUGCUGUUCUAGUAGGCUUUCCAGCAGAAGACUAGUGCUAACACUGACUGUAAUUUUGAACUGUUCAUAAUUCCCUCUCCUUUGUCUAAGGCCCCAGUUCCAGAUGAAUAAAAAACAGGCCCAAAAGCAUGAUGCUGCCACCUCUGUGCUUCACUGUAGGUACAGUAUAGUGUUCUUUUGGUAAUGAGCUCAUGUUGUGUUUGUGCCAAACAAAUCUUUUGGAAUUGUGGACAAAACACAUGCCCUUUGUUUCACUGAACCAUAACAAAAUCCCCCAAACGCAUGUAGGAAAAUGUAUCAAUGCCUACUAGAUCAUCCAAAAAAUUAUUUGUGGGUAAUCAGAGGCACUUUAAAUGGUGACAGGUGUGUGAUGAUGCCCAUUUAACAUGAACUUGAAUCUGAUUAGUUAAUUCUGAAGACAGUCAUUUCCCACUUAUGAGGGUGUGCACACUUGUGCAACCACAUUAUUUCAGUAGUUUUUUUGUACUUCCCCUUCUCAAAAAGACAACAAACAAACCAAAAAAAAAAUCAGGUUAUAGGUCAGGUUAAUGGUGAAAAAUGUUUUGAAAUCAUUUAUCUGGGUCUCAUUUUUUGAUAACAAAAAACCUGGAAUUUGAACAGGGGUGUGUAGACGUUUUAUAUUCAAUGUAAGUUAAUAAAACAGGGAAACUAUUUUGUUUGCAGUGAAGUUUGUUUUUUGUUGUACCAAGUCAUCAAAAUGGGUAUUGUGCAUAAUUGUCAGUAAAAAAAAGUGUAUUUUUGUUUGUUUGUACUUUUUUACUUUCAUUUUGUACUUUUUUUGUUUUGUUUUACUUUAGUUUAAUCACUUAUACUUUUACCAUUUUUAUUUUUUUACACAAGCAUCUUUACUUCUCGUGUGAGUACUGCCACCUCUCCUUGUGUGUAAAUGGAUGCAGAACAAUCGCACAGCCAGACAUGGCAGUGCAUUUAACCCCUCUCAUCGGGGGCCAGAGCCCAAGUGUAGGAAAUGCAGAGUCACUCUUUCCGAAUCGGUCCACGCCCGGCGCAUGCUCGCACCCAGCCAUACCGUGCAGACGCACAUGACCACAGUCACAAACACACUUUCUUUCCAGUGUGUGAACUCACAUCUGUUUCCUGACAACAAUAAUAGCCCAAGAUCGGGUGGGCAUGGAGGCCCUGCUAACAGGUGUCUAUUCUUUGGCAGUCAUGCAGAAAGAAGAAAAGAAUCUGAUGAUGGUCGAGAAAGUAAAAACACAGCUUUGACACGCCGAAAAACUCUGACCGAGCAUUUACUAACAACAGUGCUGUGUUACUAGGUGUUGAAGCUUUUUCAUCAAAGAUAAUUAAAGGACAGUGGCUUCCAAGUGCAGCUCGCAUUAUGAAUUUUGCAGGGUGUGUGUGUUAGUGUGUGUACUCACAUCAAGUGAGAUUAUGAGGGGUUGUCAGAUUAUAGUUCAGCAUUACCUCUCAUACACACUCCUGAAACACUCUCUCACACACACACACACA